rnacentral:rRNA from 1 species
UAGGGAGUAUUCGGCAAUGGAGGGAACUCUGACCGAGCAACGCCGCGUGAAUGACGAAGGUCUUCGGAUUGUAAAAUUCUGUUAUAUGGGAAGAAGAUAUGAUAAGGAAAUGGAUUAUAUUUGACCGUGCCAUAUGAGAAAGCCACGGCUAACUACGUGCCAGCAGCCGCGGUAAUACGUAGGUGGCAAGCGUUAUCCGGAAUUAUUGGGCGUAAAGAGAGAGCAGGCGGUUAUUCAAGUCUGAAGUGAAAAGCAGUGGCUUAACCAUUGUAGGCUUUGGAAACUAGAUAGCUAGAGUGCAAGAGAGGUUAGCGGAACUCCAUGUGUAGCGGUGAAAUGCGUAGAUAUAUGGAAGAACACCAGUGGCGAAGGCGGCUAACUAGCUUGAAACUGACGCUCAGUCUCGAAAGCGUGGUAGCAAAUAGGAUUAGAUACCCUGGUAGU